ensembl:lncRNA
UGUGCCAGUGGCUGGCUCCUCAGCCCCAGGGGGAAAAGGGUGUCAGAUUUUGCCUCUCUCGUAACUUCAGGAAAGAUUAAUGAACUUCAGCCCAUCUGCAGGUCUAUCCACAGAACUGUGCUAGACAGUGGAUAACAGUGAAUACCCUUUAAUUGGAAUGGUCACCAAUGGCCUCUCUCAGACACUGUCAGAAGAAUCUAAGAUGGAUCCAUGAAUUUACCUUCAAGGGGAUGUGCGCUAUUCAAAACUAUGCAUCUUUUCCACAAUGGUUCAUUAAAAUUCUAUGGAAAAGAGUCUGGGAAUGGGAUGGGAUGGCACUUCCAGAAUAGUCUUGUGAGGAUCCCAGAAACCAAUGCCCCAGAGGACACAGGAUUAAACUGGUAGAAAUUAGCAAGACUAUUACUUAAAAUCUUUGAUGCUUGACCAAAGGGCUUCCAACAAGUCAAGAAAUGUUUACGCAACAAAAUGUACAGAUAUCGGUAGGAACAAUGUGAGGCCAGGACAAUGAAGGCAGGGCAGCACCUUUCCACUCACCCAGCUUGAUGUUAUGGAAGAGGAUUCCAUGGGGCCUGACAACCAAGUGGCAACUCCGGGC